AUUGAACGCUGGCGGCAGGCCUAACACAUGCAAGUCGAGCGGAGCGGCGGACGGGUACGUAAUAGCUAUGAAUCUGCCUGGUAGUGGUGGAGAACGUUCGGAAACGGACGCUAAUACCACAUACUAGCAGAUGAGGCUAGAUUGGAUUAGCUAGUGGGUGAGGUAAAGGCAAACCAAGGCUACGAUCCCUAACUGGUCUGAGAGGAUGAUCAGCCACACUGGAACUGAGACACGGCCCAGACUCCUACGGGAGGCAGCAGUGGGGAAUAUUGGACAAUGGGCGAAAGCCUGAUCCAGCCAUGCCGCGUGUGUGAAGAAGGUCUUCGGAUUGUAAAGCACUUUAAGUUGGGAGGCGUUACCGACAGAAUAAGCACCGGCUAACUCUGUGCCAGCCGCCGCGGUAAUUC
rnacentral:rRNA from 1 species